CCCACAUACAAAUAACUCAAAAGUUAUCCCCAUAUACUAAUAAAGAAGGGUCUUGCAGUCCACCAACCUUGAGAGGUUGAUUGCCUUUUAGUAUAUGCAGGUUUGCUAAAAGUUGACAGUGAGAUUGAAAAUUAUUGGAGUGUAAAAACCUUAUAUCAUGGUCUGUGGGCAAUAGAAAUAAUUUCUCGGCUUAGGUACAAAGCGCUUAUGGCAUUUGUGAAUAUGGUAGAUCCAGUACUAAAGACUACAGCAAUAAACUGCAUCAACAACUGUACCAGCCGUCACAGAAUAUUGUUGUUGCAGACAAACACACUGUCAAAUCAAGAAAUAGGUUGGGGGUUAGGCAGUUCAUCAAAGCUAGAUGACCUACUAUGUGGGGAAUAAAUCUGGG